rnacentral:lncRNA from 1 species
UCUACUACUGGAUAGUUCUGCUGGAUAAUUCAAUACAAAUUCUAGUACUGGAUAGUUCAACUACUGGACAGGUCUACUACUGGAUAGUUCAAUACAAAUUCAACCAUUACAUACUUAAAAUUCAUGACAGAUCUCCUUCAACUUCUUCACCUUGUCCUUAUAGCCAUGGUAAUGUUUCAUCAUAUCAGAAAUGAUGUGCUCCAGCUUCUUCUUCUCUUCCUUCAUUUGGUCUCUCUCUAGCACAAGCUCGUCUCUCUCCUUCUGUGCCUUCGCCCUGAGUACCAGAUGUAGAUUGGUGGAAGAAUGGUC